GUUGAUCUCAGAGGCCAUGGUUUCUAGUGUUUUUCAUAAACUCACAGCACUCGCACUUGAAUCAACCGAACACUGCCACUUCCGAGAACGCUGUGUGCAGGUAUAUUGCCACAACGAGUGCCAAGCGGUUGAUGUUUAGCCAUGAAAACUAGAUCUCCUCACAGCGCGUCUAUUGUUUCUUAACUUUACUGAAAUAAACACAAGCGGACGGAAUCCAAGCGUUGCUUUGCUUUUUACGUUCGUUGUCUAUACAAAAUUGUCGUUACGAAAAUGCAAACUGACAAGUUGGGUGAUCAUCUGUCAAACGGUUGCUACGCUUGUUCGAAAUUCGAAAAUCAUUUUCUUUUGGGUUUGGAAAACAACGAAUAAAGGCAAGACUCUUUGUGGAA